UAAAAUGCACAGUAUUUUCUGUUAACUUGCACACUGAUGACACAGUGAAAAAAAUAAAAAAAAUAAAUAGAAUUAAUUUUACUUUUUUGAAACUUUGAAACUCGAGAGUGCAUCGCAUUUUGGGACAGUCAAAGCUACAGCUAUGGGAGAAAAGAAUGGUCUACAGAAAAGACAGGAGGAGGUGGAGGAGGUCGCAGAAAUCAUGUUAAAUAAUUUAAACAAGGCAAACGAGAGAGGAGAGAAUCUGUAUGAUGUGGAGGAGAAGGCACAGAACCUAAAACAGAGCGGAAAAGUUUUCAAAAAAACAACAAAAAUCCUGAUGGAGCAGAAGAAGAGGGAAGCAGAAAAUGACAGUCCAUGCAUAAGCAAACACAAAUGUGUACUUGUUGUCAUUGCAGUCAUAGUCCUAAUAAUGCUAGGACUCUGUAUUGGUCUUGCUAUUGGCAGACCAUGGCACAGGGCUUAAAGGGUUCACCCAUCUACCCAAAUGUCGACGGUUUGAUCCCCGUUUGAAUGUGGUUUGUUGUGGCAGCCUCAUUUCGGUCAGUGUGUAGCACAGGGCAGCUGUGGCUAUCUUUUUAUUUUAUGUUCAUUGGGAAUGAUGUACACAUGUGUGUUUUAAAUAUAUUCAGAGAUAAUAUUUCUCAGUUACUUGGAAGAAAAACGUUUUUGAAAAUGUA